CAGUGAAUGUGUUUUCCACUUGAAACUUCUUGUUGUUGCAUAACAAUGCAGACGUAUCGUAACAGGGAGCAUUAUGAACAAAACACGUCUAAUGAAUUGCUGCUCUGUUUUGAUCCAAAGCUCAGUUCCGGUUUAUUUCUCGUCUCAUUUUUUCAUGAACCGGUGAGAGGAAAUGAUAUGGGCAGUCCUUGCCACACAGGAUGUCUGCACACACUUCAUAGUCACGAAAAAAAGAGCAAAACUCGCCGUAGAAAGUGGACACAGCGAGCCUAUAUCGUCUGUGUCAUCCACAGAAAAACACUCAGCAUCUUUAUUAGAUUUCUGACAUUUUGUUUGUCUCGCCUUCAGAGUCCAGCAGGAGGCGAAUUCAUGCUUGCUUUGUCGUAUCCAUGGCGACAGCAUACAAAUGCACAAAGAAAGAACCUGAAUGCUACGGAUGGAUUGAAUACAGUAAACAGAAUGAUGAAAAGGAUAUGAGCGCCGUGACGACGCCGGUGGCCACGCCGAGAGCGAAGGAGCCGCUGAAGACGCCGAGGAACAUGCCGAAGGACUUGAACAUGGCCACGACCUCGAACGUGUGGCUGUUGUCGCCCUGCGGCUGGCUACGACACAUUGCGACUUCGGGCUACAUUGCCACCAUCGGAACGAGGACCCGUGCGUGUUUUCAACUAAAAAGCAGAAACAGUCUGAACCAUUGCAAUCAAGUCAGGGCCCGCAAAUCAAAAUGAUUGAGCAGUAUGACAAAAAAUCGGAAUGAGAAGAUAACCGCAGGUGAACUCACGAGGAAAGGACGACGGCCACAGCGUCGUUGAGCACGCUCUCGCCGAACAGCAGCGCGUACAAGUCGACGUCCACCUGAAGCUCGUUGAAGAUGGCCAGAACUGUCACUAU